rnacentral:rRNA from 1 species
GACGAACGCUGGCGGCGUGCUUAACACAUGCAAGUCGAACGGAAAGGCCCUGCUUUUGUGGGGUGCUCGAGUGGCGAACGGGUGAGUAACACGUGAGUAACCUGCCCUUGACUUUGGGAUAACUUCAGGAAACUGGGGCUAAUACCGGAUAGGAGCUCCUGCUGCAUGGUGGGGGUUGGAAAGUUUCGGCGGUUGGGGAUGGACUCGCGGCUUAUCAGCUUGUUGGUGGGGUAGUGGCUUACCAAGGCUUUGACGGGUAGCCGGCCUGAGAGGGUGACCGGCCACAUGGGGACUGAGAGACGGCCCAGACUCCUACGGGAGGCAGCAGUGGGGAAUAUUGCACAAUGGGCGGAAGCCGGAUGCAGAAACGCCGCGGGCGGGAUGACGGCCUUCGGGUUGUAAACCGCUUUCGCCUGUGACGAAGCGUGAGUGACGGUAAUGGGUAAAGAAGCACCGGCUAACUACGUG